rnacentral:rRNA from 1 species
UACACUCCUGCGGGAGGCAGCAGUGGGGAAUUUUGGACAAUGGGCGAAAGCCUGAUCCAGCAAUGCCGCGUGAGUGAAGAAGGCCUUCGGGUUGUAAAGCUCUUUUGUCAGGGAAGAAACGGUGAGAGCUAAUAUCUUUUGCUAAUGACGGUACCUGAAGAAUAAGCACCGGCUAACUACGUGCCAGCAGCCGCGGUAAUACGUAGGGUGCAAGCGUUAAUCGGAAUUACUGGGCGUAAAGCGUGCGCAGGCGGUUUUGUAAGUCUGAUGUGAAAUCCCCGGGCUCAACCUGGGAAUUGCAUUGGAGACUGCAAGGCUAGAAUCUGGCAGAGGGGGGUAGAAUUCCACGUGUAGCAGUGAAAUGCGUAGAUAUGUGGAGGAACACCGAUGGCGAAGGCAGCCCCCUGGGUCAAGAUUGACGCUCAUGCACGAAAGCGUGGGGAGCAAACAGGAUUAGAAACCCCGGUAGUCCCAUGA